GCUGUGGCUCAGUGGUACAGCCUCUGCUUUGUAUGCAGGAGGCCCCAGGUUCAAUCCCUGGCAUCUGCA